GUAAACGGCGGCCGUAACUAUAACGGUCCUAAGGUAGCGAAAUUCCUUGUCGGGUAAGUUCCGACCUGCACGAAUGGCGUAAUGAUGGCCAGGCUGUCUCCACCCGAGACUCAGUGAAAUUGAACUCGCUGUGAAGAUGCAGUGUACCCGCGGCAAGACGGAAAGACCCCGUGAACCUUUACUAUAGCUUGACACUGAACAUUGAGCCUUGAUGUGUAGGAUAGGUGGGAGGCUUUGAAGUGUGGACGCCAGUCUGCAUGGAGCCGGCCUUGAAAUACCACCCUUUAAUGUUUGAUGUUCUAACGUGGGCCCCUUACCGGGGUUGCGGACAGUGUCUGGUGGGUAGUUUGACUGGGGCGGUCUCCUCCUAAAGAGUAACGGAGGAGCACGAAGGUUGGCUAAUCCUGGUCGGACAUCAGGAGGUUAGUGCAAUGGCAUAAGCCAGCUUGACUGCGAGCGUGACGGCGCGAGCAGGUGCGAAAGCAGGUCAUAGUGAUCCGGUGGUUCUGAAUGGAAGGGCCAUCGCUCAACGGAUAAAAGGUACUCCGGGGAUAACAGGCUGAUACCGCCCAAGAGUUCAUAUCGACGGCGGUGUUUGGCACCUCGAUGUCGGCUCAUCACAUCCUGGGGCUGAAGUAGGUCCCAAGGGUAUGGCUGUUCGCCAUUUAAAGUGGUACGCGAGCUGGGUUUAGAACGUCGUGAGACAGUUCGGUCCCUAUCUGCCGUGGGCGCUGGAGAACUGAGGGGGGCUGCUCCUAGUACGAGAGGACCGGAGUGGACGCAUCACUGGUGUUCGGGUUGUCAUGCCAAUGGCACUGCCCGGUAGCUAAAUGCGGAAGAGAUAAGUGCUGAAAGCAUCUAAGCACGAAACUUGCCCCGAGAUGAGUUCUCCCUGACCCUUUAAGGGUCCUGAAGGAACGUUGAAGACGACGACGUUGAUAGGCCGGGUGUGUAAGCGCAGCGAUGCGUUGAGCUAACCGGUACUAAUGAACCGUGAGGCUUAACCUU
rnacentral:rRNA from 1 species